GCAAAAGUCGUAACACGGUUUCCGUAGGUGAACCUGCGGAAGGAUCAUUCACACAUUUUCGGUCGCGCGAACAAAAGGAGCCUCUCUCUCCUCCGUUCACUCCUUUCUGCUGCAAUUCGGUGGAAUGUGGGGUGUGCAGAUGGUCGGGUGUGAUGGCUGGCCGACUGGAAUCCUUUUUGAACCUUUUUAAUUCCUCCCAACCUUUGAAUCGGUUAAGAGUUUUCUUCCCACGACGAGUUUUCUUUGAGAAUAAAAGAGAUGUGUUGCGCAGGUGGCUGCUCGCUCGUUGAGAGUGGCUGGGCUGCAUGCUGCGCGCAUGCGAAGAGAGAAAAAAGGACCCAAAACUUUCA
rnacentral:misc_RNA from 1 species